rnacentral:rRNA from 1 species
UGCCUCAGUAACGGCGAGUGAAGCGGCAAAAGCUCAAAUUUGAAAUCUGGAGCCUUCGGCUUCCGAGUUGUAAUUUGAAGAGGAUGUUUCGGUUGCGAUCUGGGCCUAAGUUCCUUGGAACAGGACGUCAUGGAGGGUGAGAAUCCCGUACAUGGCUGCAGGUUUGCUUCUAUGUGAAACUCCUUCGAAGAGUCGAGUUGUUUGGGAAUGCAGCUCAAAAUGGGUGGUAAAUUUCAUCUAAAGCUAAAUAUUGGCGAGAGACCGAUAGCGCACAAGUAGAGUGAUCGAAAGAUGAAAAGCACUUUGAAAAGAGAGUUAAACAGUACGUGAAAUUGUUGAAAGGGAAGCGCUUGCAAUCAGACUCACUUGCGGUUGAUCAACGUUCCUUCUGGUUCGUGCACUCUGCCGUUUGUGGGCCAGCAUCAGUUAGAGCGGUGGGACAAAGGCAGCGGGAAUGUGGCUCCCUUCGGGGAGUGUUAUAGCCCGUUGUGUAAUGCCACCAGCCCUGACUGAGGUCCGCGGUUCGCCUAGGAUGCUGGCUUAAUGGUUGUAAGCGACCCGUCUUGAAACACGGACCAAGGAGUCUAACAUCUAUGCGAGUCUUUGGGUGUCAAACCCAUGGGCGAAAUGAAAGUGAACGGAGGUGGGAGUCCUCGGAUGCACCAUCGACCGAUCCUGAUGUUCUCGGAUGGAUUUGAGUAGGAGCAUAGCUGUUGGGACCCGAAAGAUGGUGAACUAUGCCUGAAUAGGGUGAAGCCAGAGGAAACUCUGGUGGAGGCUCGCAGCGGUUCUGACGUGCAAAUCGAUCGUCAAAUUUGGGUAUAGGG